UACGGAGGAUGCAAGCGUUAUCCGGAAUUAUUGGGCGUAAAGCGUCCGCAGGUGGCAAUGUAAGUCUGCUGUUAAAGAGUCUAGCUCAACUAGAUAAAAGCAGUGGAAACUACAUAGCUAGAGUACGUUCGGGGCAGAGGGAAUUCCUGGUGUAGCGGCGAAAUGCGUAGAGAUCAGGAAGAACACCAGUGGCGAAGGCGCUCUGCUAGGCCGUAACUGACACUGAGGGACGAAAGCUAGGGGAGCGAAUGGG
rnacentral:rRNA from 1 species